rnacentral:rRNA from 1 species
CAGUAGCCGCGGUAAUACGGAGGGUGCGAGCGUUAACCGGAAUAACUGGGCGUAAAGGGAGCGCAGGCGGUUUAGUAAGUCUGGAGUUAAAGGCAUUGGCUCAACCAAUGUAUGCUUUGGAAACUGUUUGACUUGAGUGCAGAAGGGGAGAGUGGAAUUCCAUGUGUAGCGGUGAAAUGCGUAGAUAUAUGGAGGAACACCGGUGGCGAAAGCGGCUCUCUGGUCUGUCACUGACGCUGAGGCUCGAAAGCGUGGGUAGCGAGCAGGAUUAGAUACCCCAGUAGUCCCUGUCUCUUAUACA